rnacentral:rRNA from 1 species
AGCAGUAGCCGCGGUAAUACAGAGGGUGCAAGCGUUACUCGGAAUUACUGGGCGUAAAGCGUGCGUAGGUGGUGGUUUAAGUCCGUUGUGAAAGCCCUGGGCUCAACCUGGGAAUUGCAGUGGAUACUGGGUCACUAGAGUGUGGUAGAGGAUAGUGGAAUUUCCGGUGUAGCAGUGAAAUGCGUAGAGAUCGGAAGGAACAUCUGUGGCGAAGGCGACUAUCUGGGCCAACACUGACACUGAGGCACGAAAGCGUGGGGAGCAAACAGGAUUAGAUACCCCCGUAGUCCCUGUCUCUUAUAC